AUUGAACGCUGGCGGCAUGCUUUACACGUGCAAGUCGAACGGCAGCGCGGGCUUCGGCCUGGCGGCGAGUGGCGAACGGGUGAGUAAUACAUCGGAACGUGCCCAGUAGUGGGGGAUAGCUCGGCGAGAGCCGGAUUAAUACCGCAUACGACCUGAGGGUGAAAGCGGGGGAUCCUCGGACCUCGCGCUAUUGGAGCGGCCGAUGGCAGAUUAGCUAGUUGGUGGGGUAAAGGCCUACCAAGGCGACGAUCUGUAGCUGGUCUGAGAGGACGACCAGCCACACUGGGACUGAGACACGGCCCAGACUCCUACGGGAGGCAGCAGUGGGGAAUUUUGGACAAUGGGCGAAAGCCUGAUCCAGCAAUGCCGCGUGUGUGAUGAAGGCCUUCGGGUUGUAAAGCACUUUUGGCGGGAACGAAAAGGACUGUGCCAAUACCACGGUUCGAUGACGGUACCCGCAGAAUAAGCACCGGCUAACUACGUG
rnacentral:rRNA from 1 species